AUUGCUGCGGUUAAAAAGCUCGUAGUUGGAUCUGCGUCUCAGGACCUGGUCCAUCCAUUGGAUGAGAACUGGGCUCCUAGGCUAAUAUUGCCAGUUUUCCAUACGUUACCUUGAUUGGUUGCGUAUGGUGGCUAGCAAGUUUACCUUGAAAAAAUUAGAGUGCUCAAUGCGGGCUAAUGCCUGAAUACUCGUGCAUGGAAUAAUGAAAUAGGAUCUCGGUUCUAUUUUGUUGGUUUUCUGAUCUGAGAUAAUGGUUAAGAGGGACGGACGGGGGCAUUCGUAUCGCUGCGUGAGAGGUGAAAUUCUUGGACCGUAGCGAGACGUCCGACUGCGAAAGCAUUUGCCAAGAAUGUCUUCAUUAAUCAAGAACGAAAGUCAGAGGUUCGAAGGCGAUCAGAUACCGCCCUAGUUCUGACCGUAAACGAUACCAACUAGCGUUCCGUCGGCGGUAAAUACGCCUUGACGGGCAGCUUCCCGGAAACGAAAGUUUUUCGGUUCCGGGGGAAGUAUGGUUGCAAAGCUGAAACUUAAAGAAAUUGACGGAAGGGCACCACCAGGAGUGGAGCCUGCGGCUUAAUUUGACUCAACACGGGAAAACUCACCUGGCCCGGACACCGUGAGGAUUGACAGAUUGAGAGCUCUUUCAUGAUUCGGUGGUUGGUGGUGCAUGGCCGUUCUUAGUUGGUGGAGUGAUUUGUCUGGUUUAUUCCGAUAACGAGCGAGACUCUAGCCUACUAAA
rnacentral:rRNA from 1 species